GAUGAACGCUGGCGGCGUGCCUAAUACAUGCAAGUCGAGCGAACAGACGAGGAGCUUGCUCCUCUGACGUUAGCGGCGGACGGGUGAGUAACACGUGGAUAACCUACCUAUAAGACUGGGAUAACUUCGGGAAACCGGAGCUAAUACCGGAUAAUAUAUUGAACCGCAUGGUUCAAUAGUGAAAGACGGUUUUGCUGUCACUUAUAGAUGGAUCGGCGCCGCAUUAGCUAGUUGGUAAGGUAACGGCCUACCAAGGCAACGAUGCGUAGCCGACCUGAGAGGGGGAUCGGCCACACUGGAACUGAGACACGGUCCAGACUCCUACGGGAGGCAGCAGUAGGGAAUCUUCCGCAAUGGGCGAAAGCCUGACGGAGCAACGCCGCGUGAGUGAUGAAGGUGUUCGGAUCGUAAAACUCUGUUAUUAGGGAAGAACAAAUGUGUAAGUAACUAUGCACGUCUUGACGGUACCUAAUCAGAAAGCCACGGCUAACUACGUG
rnacentral:rRNA from 1 species